rnacentral:rRNA from 1 species
UACGUAGGGGGCAAGCGUUGUCCGGAUUUAUUGGGCGUAAAGAGCGUGUAGGCGGCUGGGUAGGUCCGCUGUGAAGACUCGAGGCUUAACCUCGAGACGUCGGUGGAAACCAUCCAGCUAGAGUCCGGAAGAGGAGAGUGGAAUUCCUGGUGUAGCGGUGAAAUGCGCAGAUAUCGGGAGGAACACCAGUGGCGAAGGCGACUUCCUGGCCUGUUCUUGACGCUGAGGCGCGAAAGCUAGGGUAGCAAACGGG